AGUCAACGUUGGCGGCGUGCGUAACACAUGCAAGUCGAACGAUCCUCAUUUGGCUUGCCAUUUGAGGAGAGUGGCGAACGGGUGAGUAACACGUGAGUAAUCAACCCUCGAGUCGGGGGACAACCUCGCGAAAGCGAGGCUAAUACCGCAUAAUACUCUGGAGUAUAAGCUUUCAGAGUCAAAGCCUUCGGGUGCUUGAGGACGAGCUCGCGCCCUAUUAGCUUGUUGGUGGGGUAACGGCCUACCAAGGUUAUGAUGGGUAGCCGGCCUGAGAGGGUGUACGGCCACACUGGAACUGCGACACGGUCCAGACUCCUACGGGAGGCAGCAGUGGGGAAUUUUGCGCAAUGGGCGAAAGCCUGACGCAGCGACGCCGCGUGGAGGAUUAAGGCCUUCGGGUUGUAAACUCCUGUCAGAGGUGAAGAAUGCCCUUCGGGGUUUGACGGUAACCUCAGAGGAAGCCCCGGCUAACUACGUG
rnacentral:rRNA from 1 species